rnacentral:lncRNA from 1 species
GCCCAGUGCUAAUAGCCAAGACAAUAGGGAAAAGCCCUUGACGGCAUUUCGGAGACCUUUGCAGCAGCCCUUGCUAUCACAGGCCCUGGGCCCUAGGAGAGAAGCAUGGUUUCCUGGGCCAGUCCUGUGACCCCGCUCUAUGUGCAGCCUCAGGGCACUGCUGCCUGCGUCCCUGCAGCUCCAGCUCCAGCCAUGGCUGAAAAUGCACAGAUGCAGCUUGGGUCACUGCUUCAGAGGGUGCAAGCUAGAAGCCUUGGUAACUUCCUCAUAGUGUUAAGCCACUAGGUGGAUGGAUCAUGAGACUAGAGGCUUGGGAGCCUUUUUGUAGACUUUGGAAGAUGUAUGGAAAUGCCUGGGUGACCAGACAAAAGCAUCCCAAAAAUGCAGAGCCUCAUAAGAAACUUCUACUAGGGCAGUGCAGAAGGAAAAUAUGGGGUUGGAGCCCCCACACUGGAGGCCACCGUCAUGCAGACCCCAGAUUCAUAGACCCACCAACAGCUUGUACCAUCAGUCAGGAAAAGCUGUAGGCACUCAACACCCGCCCAGUCCAUGGGGGCAGCUGUGGGGCAUAAACCCUGCAAAGCCACAGGUGCAGGGCUGCCCAAGGCCUUCAGAGCCCAGCCCUCAUGUCCCUGUGCCCUGGAUGUGGGACAACGUUUCAAAAAGGGUGAUUUUGGAACUGUAGGAUUGAAUGACUGGCCUUCUGGGUUUGGAGUUUCAUGGGGCCUGUAAGUCCUCUAUGUGUUUUGCUCUUUCUGGCAAAAUUUUUCCUUUCAGUUGAGAAUGCUUACCCAUUGCCUGCACAAGCAUUGUAGCUUGGCAGCAGUUAACUUGCUUUAUAGUUCAGAGGCUUAUGUGCCUAAGGGACUGUAUAGCCUUGUGUCAGAUGAGACUUUAAGCUUUGGACAUUUGUAUAAAUGCUGGAAUGAUACAAGAUUUGGGGGGACUGUAGGGAAGGCAUCAUUGUAUUUUGCAAUGUGAGAAGGACAUGAGAUUUGGGAGCCAGGGACAGAAUAAUAAAGUUAAAGGUGGGGCCUGGUGGAGGGUGAUUUAAUCAUGGUGGAUCCUUCACAAAUGAUUAAACACCAUCUCCUUAUUGCUGUGCUUAUGCUAGUGAGUUCUCUUCGUGAUUUUGGAGCUGUGAGAUUGAAUGGAUACUGGCCUCCUGGGUUUUGGACUUGCAUUGGGUGUGUGGUUCUAUUUGUGGUUUUUUCCUGGGAAAUUUCUUCCCUUUGAAUUGAGAAAGCUUACCCAAUGCCUGUACCAUCAUUGUACCCUGAAAGAAAAGAACAUCCUUUUAAAUUCAGGGACUCAUAGGUGCAAGGGACUGUAGACUUGUCUCAGAUGAGAUGUUGAACUUUUUACAUUUGAGUUAAUGCUGGAAUGAGUUAAGACUUUUGGAAACUUUUGACAAGGCAUGAAUGUAUUUUGCUCUGUGAGAAGGACAUGAGAUUCUGGGGUACCAGGGUCAGAAUAAUAUGGUUUGGCUGUGUUUCUUUACCAAAACUCCUGUGGAAUGUACUCCUUAAUGUUGGAGGUGGGGCCUGGUGGGAGGUGAUGUAAUCAUGGCAGGAGGGGUUUGGGGUUGGAAGGAAAAGGGGUGGGUAGGGUGGGAAGUAGGUUGGCAGUAGGGUGGUGGGAGGGUGGUGGGUAGUAGGAAGGGGGAGUAGUCUGCUUCAGAGGCAGAGGCUCAUGGGAAACCUCUGCUAGGGCAGUGCACCUGCAGCUUUGCAGGCUUCAGCCCCCAUGUCUGCUCUCAUGGGCUAGGCUGGUGUGGAGUGCCUGUAGCUUUUCCAUACUGAGGAUGUGAACUGUUGGUGGGCUUAUGAAUCUGGGGUCUGGAGGAUGGUGACCUCCUGUGUCGGGGCUCCAAGCCCAUGUUUCCCUUCUGCACUGCCAUGGUAGAAGUUUCCCAAGAGGCUCUGCCUCUGCAGGAGGCUUCUGCCUGCAAACAGUGGGUGGUGGUGUGGGUGGUGUUUCCUUCACCAGUGGUUAAUCUUCUUGAUGCUGAUCUCCUGAUAGUGAGUUCUCAUGAGAUCUGGUUGUAUAACAGGAUGUGGCACCUCCUUUCUCUCUCUGUCUUGCUCCUACUCCUGCCAUAUGAAAUAUCUCAUUGUCGCUUGUCCUUCUGGUAUGGUUAUGAGGGCCCUGAUCAGUGUGGGCCUCAUCAGUGGACCUAGUCAGCUGGGACUUGGUCAGUGAGGCCUAUUUAUUGGGGGGUGUGGUCAGCAGGGGUCUGCUUAGAGAGGGUCUCAUUAGGGGGAUCUAGUAGUGGGGUCUUGGUGAGUGGGGACCUAGUGGCAGCCACUUGUUUGGUGUCUGGUCAGUGUAAAACUAGGCUGCAGGACUUUGUCAAUGGAGACCUGGUCAGCUGGGGCUUAGUGGUGGCCUUGUCAGCAUGGGCCGGGUCACUGGUGACCAGCUCAAGGGGUGCUAUUCAUUGGAGGCCUGGUCACAUGGGACCCAGUCAGCAGGGCCUGCUGGCCAUGUCCUCAUCAGUGAGGCCCUUGUCAGUGGGGCCCUGGUCAGCGCAGCCUGGUCAGUGGAACCUAAUCAGUGGCGGCCUGUUCAGAGAGAGCGCAUUCAGUGGUGGCUCUUGUAGCAGUGGUCUGUGGGGUGACCUGGUCAGCAGGGAUCUGAGCAGUGGGUGCCUAUUCAGUGGGGCCUACUCACUAGGGUCACAGUCAGGGGCAUCUUGUCACCUAUGGCCUGGUUAAUAGGGGCCUGGUCAGUGGCAGCCUGUUCCCUGGAGGCCUGGUCAGUGGGGCCUCAUCUAUGGUGCCAGGCAAUGGGGUCAUGAUCAGUGGAACCUGGUCAGUGAGGCCCUGGUCAGUAAGAACCUGGUCAGUGAGGCCCUGGUCAGUAAGGUCCUGGUCAGUGGGGUCCUGGACACUGUUGGCCUAGCAGCAAGGGCCUGGUUAGUGGGGCCUGGUCAUGGGGUUCUAAUCAGUGAGAGUGUGGUCAGGGAGGACCUGAUGUGUGGGAUAUGGCCAGCAGGGACCUGGACCUGGUCAGCAGGGGCUGCUGAGCACUGCUGGGAGAUGUCAGGUGCAAUGCACGUUAUUGAGGGCCCUGUGGACAGUUGGGAUGGCCCAGUAGUGCCCAAAGACCCAGUCAAAACUGGACAAAGCAGGUGUUUCGAUGGACCUGGGAGAUCUUGCUCAGAGAUUCCAACAGGACAAAGGGAAAGGAAGGGCCACAGUGGCCAGAUAGAUGGUCACAGUCUAUGGGCUGCACAGGAUGGAGGAAGCCAGGGAACA